GACGAACGCUGGCGGCGUGCUUAACACAUGCAAGUCGAACGGUGAAGCGCCUUCCUUUUUGGUGGGUGUGGAUGAGUGGCGAACGGGUGAGUAACACGUGAGUAACCUGCCCCCUUCUUCUGGAUAACCGCAUGAAAGUGUGGCUAAUACGGGAUAUUCUGGGUCUGUCGCAUGAUGGGUCUGGGAAAGAUAUUGUUUCGGUGGGGGAUGGGCUCGCGGCCUAUCAGCUUGUUGGUGGGGUGAUGGCCUACCAAGGCGGUGACGGGUAGCCGGCCUGAGAGGGUGGACGGUCACACUGGGACUGAGACACGGCCCAGACUCCUACGGGAGGCAGCAGUGGGGAAUAUUGCACAAUGGGCGCGAGCCUGAUGCAGCGACGCCGCGUGAGGGAUGGAGGCCUUCGGGUUGUGAACCUCUUUCGCCAGUGAAGCAGGCCUGCCUCGUUUGUGGGUGGGUUGACGGUAGCUGGAUAAGAAGCGCCGGCUAACUACGUG
rnacentral:rRNA from 1 species